UCAUAUCACUGUUGGGAAAAUGCUUGUAAAUUCGUAAAUUCGUGUCUUCGUUUUGAUUUAUGCUGGAACGCUAAAACUUUAUUAGAAAAAAAACAAAAGAAAUUCAAUCGAUUCAAAAAUAACACUUCUUCUGCCAAUAAAAAACAGGGAAAGAAAAUAUUAGCUCAUAAUCCUUUUAAUUGUUCCUGCGAAAAGUGGGGCCCUAAGCGAGAGGUUUCGUGUUAUAUUCCGCCAUCCAAUCAAGAUGAAAAUUCGAUGCAGAAUAAAAUGCCAAGAGAUAAUAAAAUUGUAAUUGGAGGUUCAAUCUUCUUGAUCCAUUUCAUGUUGCUUCAGAGGAAAAAAAAAUUAGAAACCGAAAGUAUAACAAAGGAGGCGGAUAAAAGACGCACUGAAAUUCUUAUGGAGGCCUCUAAGAAUAUGUAUAGUGAUGAGAAUUUGGAGGGGCCUAAAGAUGAAUUACCUACAAUGUCUGAUAUUAAAAAGAAAAGAAAACUUAAACAAUCGUGCAAAAGUAAUCCAGGUGAAAUUAUGAUCUCUAAACUGAUAGAUAGCUUAUAGGGAAAAGAGGCAGCAAACAUUGACGCAAAUAAUGCCGACAUAAAUUUCACCUCACCACAUUUAGGAAAUCUCAGUACCCUACGAGGAAAUAUGACGAGAACGUAUACCAACGCUACACAAACAUAUUCUGAAAUUAAUAUUGUACAAAUAUUCAACAUAGACAAAAUAUAUUAUAAAAAGGAAAAAUACUUGUAAAUUUAAUAAA